rnacentral:rRNA from 1 species
UACGUUGGGCGCAAGCGUUGUCCGGAAUUAUUGGGCGUAAAGAGCUCGUAGGCGGCUUGUCACGUCGGGUGUGAAAGCCCGGGGCUUAACCCCGGGUCUGCAUUCGAUACGGGCUAGCUAGAGUGUGGUAGGGGAGAUCGGAAUUCCUGGUGUAGCGGUGAAAUGCGCAGAUAUCAGGAGGAACACCGGUGGCGAAGGCGGAUCUCUGGGCCAUUACUGACGCUGAGGAGCGAAAGCGUGGGGAGCGAACAGG